UUAAAUUGAAGAGUUUGAUCAUGGCUCAGAUUGAACGCUGGCGGCAGGCCUAACACAUGCAAGUCGAACGGUAACAGGAAGAAGCUUGCUUCUUUGCUGACGAGUGGCGGACGGGUGAGUAAUGUCUGGGAAGCUGCCUGAUGGAGGGGGAUAACUACUGGAAACGGUAGCUAAUACCGCAUAACGUCGCAAGACCAAAGAGGGGGACCUUCGGGCCUCUUGCCAUCGGAUGUGCCCAGAUGGGAUUAGCUAGUAGGUGGGGUAACGGCUCACCUAGGCGACGAUCCCUAGCUGGUCUGAGAGGAUGACCAGCCACACUGGAACUGAGACACGGUCCAGACUCCUACGGGAGGCAGCAGUGGGGAAUAUUGCACAAUGGGCGCAAGCCUGAUGCAGCCAUGCCGCGUGUAUGAAGAAGGCCUUCGGGUUGUAAAGUACUUUCAGCGGGGAGGAAGGGAGUAAAGUUAAUACCUUUGCUCAUUGACGUUACCCGCAGAAGAAGCACCGGCUAACUCCGUGCCAGCAGCCGCGGUAAUACGGAGGGUGCAAGCGUUAAUCGGAAUUACUGGGCGUAAAGCGCACGCAGGCGGUUUGUUAAGUCAGAUGUGAAAUCCCCGGGCUCAACCUGGGAACUGCAUCUGAUACUGGCAAGCUUGAGUCUCGUAGAGGGGGGUAGAAUUCCAGGUGUAGCGGUGAAAUGCGUAGAGAUCUGGAGGAAUACCGGUGGCGAAGGCGGCCCCCUGGACGAAGACUGACGCUCAGGUGCGAAAGCGUGGGGAGCAAACAGGAUUAGAUACCCUGGUAGUCCACGCCGUAAACGAUGUCGACUUGGAGGUUGUGCCCUUGAGGCGUGGCUUCCGGAGCUAACGCGUUAAGUCGACCGCCUGGGGAGUACGGCCGCAAGGUUAAAACUCAAAUGAAUUGACGGGGGCCCGCACAAGCGGUGGAGCAUGUGGUUUAAUUCGAUGCAACGCGAAGAACCUUACCUGGUCUUGACAUCCACAGAACUUUCCAGAGAUGGAUUGGUGCCUUCGGGAACUGUGAGACAGGUGCUGCAUGGCUGUCGUCAGCUCGUGUUGUGAAAUGUUGGGUUAAGUCCCGCAACGAGCGCAACCCUUAUCCUUUGUUGCCAGCGGUCCGGCCGGGAACUCAAAGGAGACUGCCAGUGAUAAACUGGAGGAAGGUGGGGAUGACGUCAAGUCAUCAUGGCCCUUACGACCAGGGCUACACACGUGCUACAAUGGCGCAUACAAAGAGAAGCGACCUCGCGAGAGCAAGCGGACCUCAUAAAGUGCGUCGUAGUCCGGAUUGGAGUCUGCAACUCGACUCCAUGAAGUCGGAAUCGCUAGUAAUCGUGGAUCAGAAUGCCACGGUGAAUACGUUCCCGGGCCUUGUACACACCGCCCGUCACACCAUGGGAGUGGGUUGCAAAAGAAGUAGGUAGCUUAACCUUCGGGAGGGCGCUUACCACUUUGUGAUUCAUGACUGGGGUGAAGUCGUAACAAGGUAACCGUAGGGGAACCUGCGGUUGGAUCACCUCCUUACCUUAAAGAAGC
rnacentral:rRNA from 1 species